rnacentral:rRNA from 1 species
ACUCGGUGCCAGCAGCCGCGGUAAUACGGAGGGUGCGAGCGUUACCCGGAUUUACUGGGCGUAAAGGGCGUGUAGGCGGUCCCUCAAGUCCGAUGCUAAAGACCGGGGCUCAACCCCGGGGGUGCGUUGGAUACUGUCGGGCUAGACGGUCGGAGGGGGCAGCGGAAUUUCCGGAGUAGCGGUGAAAUGCGCAGAUACCGGAAGGAACGCCGAUAGCGAAGGCAGCUGCCUGGACGACUUGUGACGCUGAGGCGCGAAAGCGUGGGGAGCAAACCGGAUUAGAUACCCGGGUAGUCCACGCCCUAAACGAUGAGUGCUGGGUGUCCGGCUCCUGCCGGGUGCCGUAGCUAACGCGUUAAGCACUCCGCCUGGGAAGUACGCACGCAAGUGUGAAACUCAAAGGAAUUGACGGGGGCCCGCACAAGCGGUGGAGCAUGUGGUUUAAUUCGAAGCGACGCGAAGAACCUUACCAGGCCUUGACAUCCCGCGAACCCCGCCGAAAGGGGGGGGUGCCCGCAAGGGAGCGCGGAGACAGGUGCUGCAUGGCCGUCGUCAGCUCGUGUCGUGAGAUGUUGGGUUAAGUCCCGCAACGAGCGCAACCCCUAUCCCCAGUUGCCAGCAGUCCGGCUGGGCACUCUGGUGAGACCGCCCGCGAAAGCGGGAGGAAGGCGGGGAUGACGUCUGGUCCGCAUGGCCCUUACGGCCUGGGCGACACACGUGCUACAAUGGCUGCGACAGAGCGCCGCCACCCCGCGAGGGGGAGCCAAUCGCGCAAACGCAGCCCCAGUUCGGAUUGGAGUCUGCAACUCGACUCCAUGAAGCCGGAAUCGCUAGUAAUCGCGGAUCAGCCACGCCGCGGUGAAUACGUUCCCGGGCCUUGUACACACCGCCCGU